rnacentral:rRNA from 1 species
CCUACGGGGGGCAGCAGUAGAGAAUCUUCGGCAAUGGGGGGAACCCUGACCGAGCGAUACCGCGUGAGUGAUGAAGUACUUUUAGUAUGUAAAAUUCUUUUAUUUAAGAGAAAUGGUAUUAGUAGGAAAUGGCUAGUAAGUGAUAGUAUUAAAUGAAUAAGCCCCGGCUAACUAUGUGCCAGCAGCCGCGGUAAUACAUAGGGGGCGAGCGUUAUCCGGAAUUAUUGGGUGUAAAGGGUGCGUAGGCGGAAGAUUAAGUUUUAGGUAUAAAUGCGCUGCUCAACGGCGUAUUGCUUAAAAAACUGGUCAACUAGAGUGAGGCAGAGGCAAGUGGAAUUCCAUGUGUAGUGGUAAAAUGCGUAAAUAUAUGGAGGAACACCAGUGGCGAAGGCGGCUUGCUGG